AACGAACGCUGGCGGCAGGCUUAACACAUGCAAGUCGAGCGCAUCCUUCGGGGUGAGCGGCAGACGGGUGAGUAACGCGUGGGGAUGUGCCUGGUGGUACGGAACAACUCAGGGAAACUUGAGCUAAUACCGUAUAAGCCCUUCGGGGGAAAGAUUUAUCGCCACCAGAUCAACCCGCGUUGGAUUAGCUAGUUGGUGAGGUAACGGCUCACCAAGGCGACGAUCCAUAGCUGGUCUGAGAGGAUGAUCAGCCACACUGGGACUGAGACACGGCCCAGACUCCUACGGGAGGCAGCAGUGGGGAAUAUUGGACAAUGGGCGAAAGCCUGAUCCAGCCAUACCGCGUGAGUGAUGAAGGCCUUAGGGUUGUAAAGCUCUUUCACUGGGGAAGAUAAUGACGGUACCCAGAGAAGAAGCCCCGGCUAACUUCGUGCCAGCCGCCGCGGUAACAC
rnacentral:rRNA from 1 species